UACGGAGGGUGCAGGCGUUAAUCGGAAUUACUGGGCGUAAAGCGCACGCAGGCGGUUUAUUAAGUCAGAUGUGAAAUCCCCGGGCUCAACCUGGGAACUGCAUUUGAAACUGGCAAGCUAGAGUCUGGUAGAGGGGGGUAGAAUUCCAGGUGUAGCGGUGAAAUGCGUAGAGAUCUGGAGGAAUACCGGUGGCGAAGGCGGCCCCCUGGACCAAGACUGACGCUCAGGUACGAAAGCGUGGGGAGCAAACAGG
rnacentral:rRNA from 1 species